CCUAUGAUGUAAGAAAGAACAAUUCUACUAUCCAUUCAAAGUCUUCUUGGAGAGCCAAACAUUAGUUCACCUCUAAAUCCACAAGCAGCCCAGCUAUGGAGCAAUCAAGAAGAUUACAGAAAGAUGGUUCUCAAGUUAUACAAUUCUCCAAGUGCUACCGCUUAAACAUCCUUGGAGUUUGUCAAUCAAGGUGGAAAAAGACUCUUCUCUAUGUGCUCCCGAGAACGGAAGAGGAUGAGAAGUUUAGGAGUUUCAUUUGUUCUUUUUUUCCUGAUGGAACUGCA